rnacentral:rRNA from 1 species
UACGGGGGGGGCAAGCGUUGUUCGGAAUUACUGGGCGUAAAGGGCUCGUAGGCGGCCAACUAAGUCAGACGUGAAAUCCCUCGGCUUAACCGGGGAACUGCGUCUGAUACUGGAUGGCUUGAGUUCGGGAGAGGGAUGCGGAAUUCCAGGUGUAGCGGUGAAAUGCGUAGAUAUCUGGAGGAACACCGGUGGCGAAGGCGGCGAUCCUGGACCGACACUGACGCUGAGGAGCGAAAGCCAGGGGAGCAAACGGG